ACGAACGCUGGCGGCGUGCUUAACACAUGCAAGUCGAGCGGUAAGGCCCUUCGGGGUACACGAGCGGCGAACGGGUGAGUAACACGUGGGUGAUCUGCCUCGCACUCUGGGAUAAGCCUGGGAAACUGGGUCUAAUACCGGAUAUGACCAUUGACCGCAUGGUUGGUGGUGGAAAGAUUUAUCGGUGCAAGAUGAGCCCGCGGCCUAUCAGCUUGUUGGUGGGGUAAUGGCCUACCAAGGCGACGACGGGUAGCCGGCCUGAGAGGGCGACCGGCCACACUGGGACUGAGACGCGGCCCAGACUCCUACGGGAGGCAGCGGUGGGGAAUAUUGCACAAUGGGCGGAAGCCUGAUGCAGCGACGCCGCGUGAGGGAUGACGGCCUUCGGGUUGUAAACCUCUUUCGACUCCGACGAAGCGAAAGUGACGGUAGGAGUAUAAGAAGCACCGGCCAACUACGUGCCAGCAGCCGCGGUAAUACGUAGGGUGCGAGCGUUGUCCGGAAUUACUGGGCGUAAAGAGCUUGUAGGCGGUCUGUCGCGUCUUCUGUGAAAACUUGAGGCUCAACCUUAAGCUUGCAGGCGAUACGGGGCAGACUAGAGUACUUCAGGGGAGACUGGAAUUCCUGGUGUAGCGGUGAAAUGCGCAGAUAUCAGGAGGAACACCGGUGGCGAAGGCGGGUCUCUGGGAAGUAACUGACGCUGAGAAGCGAAAGCAUGGGUAGCGAACAGGAUUAGAUACCCUGGUAGUCCACGCUGUAAACGUUGGGCGCUAGGUGUGGGAGUCUUUUGUGACGUCCGUGCCGUAGCUAACGCAUUAAGCGCCCCGCCUGGGGAGUACGGCCGCAAGGCUAAAACUCAAAGGAAUUGACGGGGGCCCGCACAAGCGGCGGAGCAUGCGGAUUAAUUCGAUGCAACGCGAAGAACCUUACCUGGGUUUGACAUACACGGUGCACCGGCAGAGAUGUCGGGUCCUUUUGGGUCGUGUACAGGUGGUGCAUGGCUGUCGUCAGCUCGUGUCGUGAGAUGUUGGGUUAAGUCCCGCAACGAGCGCAACCCUCGUCCUAUGUUGCCAGCACGUUAUGGUGGGGACUCAUAGGAGACUGCCGGGGUCAACUCGGAGGAAGGUGGGGAUGAUGUCAAGUCUUCAUGCCCCUUAUGUCCAGGGCUGCAAACAUGCUACAAUGGUCGGUACAAUGGGCUGCGAGACCGUGAGGUGGAGCGAAUCCCUAAAAGCCGGCCUCAGUUCGGAUCGGGGUCUGCAACUCGACCCCGUGAAGUUGGAGUCGCUAGUAAUCGCGGAUCGGCAACGCCGCGGUGAAUACGUUCCCGGGCCUUGCACACACCGC
rnacentral:rRNA from 1 species